rnacentral:tRNA from 1 species
GGAGAGGUGCCUGAGUGGUUGAAGGGGCACGAUUGGAAAUCGUGUAGCCCGCAAGGGCUCGUGGGUUCGAAUCCCACCCUCUCCG